CGGGAAUUUUGGGCAAUGGGCGAAAGCCUGACCCAGCAACGCCGCGUGAGGGAUGAAGUAUUUCGGUAUGUAAACCUCGAAAGAAUGGGAAGAAUAAAUGACGGUACCAUUUAUAAGCUCCGGCUAACUACGUGCCAGCAGCCGCGGUAAUACGUAGGGAGCAAGCGUUGUUCGGAUUUACUGGGCGUAAAAGGCGCGUAGGCGGCGCGGUAAGUCACUUGUGAAAUCUCUGAGCUUAACUCAGAACGGCCAAGUGAUACUGCUGUGCUAGAGUGCGGAAGAGGCAACCGGAAUUCUUGGUGUAGCGGUGAAAUGCGUAGAUAUCAAGAGGAACACCUGAGGCGAAGGCGGGUUGCUGGGCCGACACUGACGCUGAUGCGCGAAAGCCAGGGGAGCAAACG
rnacentral:rRNA from 1 species